rnacentral:rRNA from 1 species
GACGAACGCUGGCGGCGUGCUUAACACAUGCAAGUCGAACGGAAAGGCCCUGCUUUUGUGGGGUGCUCGAGUGGCGAACGGGUGAGUAACACGUGAGUAACCUGCCCUUGACUUUGGGAUAACUUCAGGAAACUGGGGCUAAUACCGGAUAGGAGCUCCUGCUGCAUGGUGGGGGUUGGAAAGUUUCGGCGGUUGGGGAUGGACUCGCGGCUUAUCAGCUUGUUGGUGGGGUAGUGGCUUACCAAGGCUUUGACGGGUAGCCGGCCUGAGAGGGUGACCGGCCACAGUGGGAGUGAGAUACGGCCCAGACUCCUACGGGAGGCAGCAGUGGGGGAGAGUGCACAAUGGGCGGAAGCCUGAUGCAGCAACGCCGCGUGCGGGAUGACGGCCUUCGGGUUGUAAACCGCUUUCGCCGGUGACGAAGCGUGAGUGACGGGAAUGGGUAAAGAAGCACCGGCUAACUACGUG